UUUUCAAUUAUUUUUUUAAAAAAGUAUUAUGUAAUUUCAUUAAUUAAUAUGAAAGCUAAAUAUUUUUAUAUAUAUAAUAGUUGUCUAUUAUGCUUUUCGUCAAAAGAAUUUAUAUUAAUUUGAAAGAUCAUCAUACAAAGUGUUUACAAUCCAAAGAAGACGAUUUAGGCUCUCAAAAUAAAAACUAGUGUCAAUAUUCCCAUAUUUAGCAAGAUUAUGAGCUACUUGGUUACAACAACGAUUUACAUGAGAGAAACAAACUUAUUUAAAUUUAGCCGACCAAUACUUGAUAUAGGCGUAGAUGCUGGUAAUAGAUGCGUCUGCUGAUCCAUUGUUGAUGAUGUCAAUUAAGAUUUUGCAGUCCCUUUCAAAGUAUACAUUGGUGAAACCUCAAAUCCAUGUUUGUCGCAAUGAACAUAGUAGUGCUUGUGUUUCCGCCUCUAGUGGUGAUGUUGUGAGUUUCAACAAUGACGAACCCCAUGCUUUAGAAGUUCCUUCAUGAUCACGGAUAACCCAGCCACCAUUUACUUGGUUAGUGUUGACAUCAAACUUAGCAUCAAAA
rnacentral:sRNA from 1 species